rnacentral:rRNA from 1 species
UACCAGCACCCCGAGUGGUCGGGACGAUUAUUGGGCCUAAAGCAUCCGUAGCCGGUUUUACAAGUCCUCCGUUAAAUCCAGCUGCUUAACAGAUGGGCUGCGGAGGAUACUAUAAGACUAGGAGGCAGGAGAGGCAAGCGGUACUCAGUGGGUAGGGGUAAAAUCCGUUGAUCCAUUGAAGACCACCAGUGGCGAAGGCGGCUUGCCAGAAUGCGCUCGACGGUGAGGGAUGAAAGCGUGGGGAGCAAACAGG